rnacentral:rRNA from 1 species
UACGUAGGGGGCAAGCGUUGUCCGGAAUCAUUGGGCGUAAAGAGCGUGUAGGCGGCCCGGUAAGUCCGCUGUGAAAGUCCAGGGCUCAACCCUGGGAUGCCGGUGGAUACUGUCGGGCUCGAGUCCGGAAGAGGAGUGUGGAAUUCCUGGUGUAGCGGUGAAAUGCGCAGAUAUCAGGAGGAACACCGGUGGUGUAGACGGCUCUCUGGACCGUAACUGACGCUGAGACACGAAAGCGUGGGUAGCAAACAGG